UACGUAGGGACCGAGCGUUGUCCGGAAUCAUUGGGCGUAAAGAGCGUGUAGGCGGCCAACUAAGUCCUGCGUGAAAUCUCGGGGCUCAACCCCGAGCGGUCGUGGGAAACUGGUUGGCUAGAGUGCGGGAGAGGAGAGUGGAAUUCCUGGUGUAGCGGUGAAAUGCGCAGAUAUCAGGAAGAACACCCGUGGCGAAGGCGGAUCUCUGGGCCUUACCUGACGCUGAGGCGCGAAAGCUAGGGGAGCGAACAGG
rnacentral:rRNA from 1 species